GCAACAAUAGUACAGAGGUUAGUAUUGCCCUUUCCCAUGACCCUUUUGUGUACGGGAUUAGGGGUAGACCUGGGUUCGAAUCCCGGUUGUUGCA
rnacentral:tRNA from 1 species